ACCUUCAAUAACAUGAGAAAGUAAUAUCGUUUUCAUUUGUAUGAGUGACAUGAAUUCAAUGUUUAGUAACUCUGGUUAUAUUUUGCUAUAAGCUUUACUUUCAAGUCUUUUAAUGCAUCAUGUGCUGCAGAAAUUCUAUAACGCCAUCGAUCAAGAAACAACAAAAAUUUCAAUACCAUGACCUCCUCUAGAUUCUCACCAACCUGGGUUUUUAGGUAAAGAAUUCAAAACCACCUAUAUUCAAUUGUUCGUGAAUCUUACUUAUUAUUACAACUCCCUAGUGAUCCCCAAUAACUCAUAAAUACUUUCCUAUAACAGUACGUCGUCUACUUAUGGGUAUAUUGGGUUGUUGGGCAUGCAGAGACGUACUAAAUACAUAACUAAUGAGAAUAUGCAAACAUCAUUGGGGCAUUAAAGCAUUUUAAUGUUUAUGAAAAUGUGAU